rnacentral:rRNA from 1 species
UACGAAGGGUGCAAACGUUGCUCGGAAUCAUUGGGCGUAAAGGGCGCGUAGGCGGCACGGCAAGUCGGGAGUGAAAGCCCGGGGCUCAACCCCGGAGGGUCUUCCGAAACUGCCGAGCUAGAGUGCGGAAGAGGCAACCGGAAUUCCCAGUGUAGCGGUGAAAUGCGUAGAUAUUGGGAAGAACACCGGAGGCGAAGGCGGGUUGCUGGGCCGACACUGACGCUGAGGCGCGAAAGCCAGGGGAGCAAACGGG